rnacentral:rRNA from 1 species
GACGAACGCUGGCGGCGUGCUUAACACAUGCAAGUCGAACGGAAAGGCCCUGCGUUUGUGGGUUGCUCGUGUGCCGAGCGGGGGAGUAACACGUGUGUAACCUACCCUUGACUUUGGGAUAUCUUUAGGAAACUGGGGCGCAUACCGGGGAUGAUCUCCUGCUGCGUGGGGGGGGUUGGAGAGUUUCGGCGGUUGUGGAUGGACUGGCGGGUUAUCAGCUUGUUUGUGUGGUAGUGGCGUACCAAGGCUAUGACGGGUAGCCCGCCUGAGAGGGUGAACGGCGACCUUGGGACUGAGAGACGGCCCAGAAUGCUAUCGGAGGCAGCAGUCGAGAACAUGACACAACGGGGGGAAGCCUGAGGCAGCAACGCCCCGAGCGGGAUGACGGCUUUCGGGGUGUGAACAGAUUUGGCCUGUGACGAAGCGUGAGUGACGGUAAUGGGUAAAGAAGCAACGGCUAACUACGUG